rnacentral:tRNA from 1 species
GCCGGAAUGGCGGAAUUGGUAGACGCAGCGGACUCAAAAUCCGCCGACUAAUCAUCGUAAGGGUUCGAGUCCCUUUUCCGGCACCA